AACGAACGCUGGCGGCAUGCCUAACACAUGCAAGUCGAACGAGAUCUUCGGGUCUAGUGGCGCACGGGUGCGUAACGCGUGGGAAUCUGCCCUUUGGUUCGGAAUAACAGUUGGAAACGACUGCUAAUACCGGAUGAUGACGAAAGUCCAAAGAUUUAUCGCCAGAGGAUGAGCCCGCGUAGGAUUAGCUAGUUGGUGUGGUAAAGGCGCACCAAGGCGACGAUCCUUAGCUGGUCUGAGAGGAUGAUCAGCCACACUGGGACUGAGACACGGCCCAGACUCCUAGGGGAGGCAGCAGUGGGGAAUAUUGGAAAAUGGGCGAAAGCCUGAUCCAGCAAUGCCGCGUGAGUGAUGAAGGCCUUAGGGUUGUAAAGCUCUUUUACCCGGGAUGAUAAUGGCAGUACCGGGAGAAUAAGCUCCGGCUAACUCCGUGCCAGCCGCCGCGGUAA
rnacentral:rRNA from 1 species